rnacentral:rRNA from 1 species
ACGAACGCUGGCGGCGUGCUUAACACCUGCCAGUCGCACGGAAAGGCCCUGCUUUUGUGGGGUGCUCGAGUGGCGAACGGGUGAGUAACACGUGAGUAACCUGCCCUUGACUUUGGGAUAACUUCAGGAAACUGGGGCUAAUACCGGAUAGGAGCUCCUGCUGCAUGGUGGGGGUUGGAAAGUUUCGGCGGUUGGGGAUGGACUCGCGGCUUAUCAGCUUGUUGGUGGGGUAGUGGCUUACCAAGGCUUUGACGGGUAGCCGGCCUGAGAGGGUGACCGGCCACAUUGGGACUGAGAUACGGCCCAGACUCCUACGGGAGGCAGCAGUGGGGAAUAUUGCACAAUGGGCGGAAGCCUGAUGCAGCAACGCCGCGUGCGGGAUGACGGCCUUCGGGUUGUAAACCGCUUUCGCCUGUGACGAAGCGUGAGUGACGGUAAUGGGUAAAGAAGCACCGGCUAACUACGU